rnacentral:ncRNA from 1 species
CGGUCCCUAUCCGUCGCGGGCGUAGGAAAUUUGAGAGGAGCUGUCCUUAGUACGAGAGGACCGGGAUGGACGAACCUCUGGUGCACCAGUUGUCACGCCAGUGGCACAGCUGGGUAGCCAUGUUCGGAAGGGAUAAGCGCUGAAGGCAUCUAAGCGCGAAGCCCACCUCAAGAUGAGAUUUCCCACCGUAAGGGUAAGACCCCUUGAAGAACACAAGGUUGAUAGGUCAGAGGUGUAAGCGUCGUGAGGCGUUAAGCUGACUGAUACUAAUAGGUCGAGGGCUUGAUCAA